UACGUAGGGGGCAAGCGUUGUCCGGAUUUAUUGGGCGUAAAGAGCGUGUAGGCGGCUGGGUAGGUCCGUUGUGAAAACUCGAGGCUCAACCUCGAGACGCCGAUGGAAACCCCCCAGCUAGAGUCCGGAAGAGGAGAGUGGAAUUCCUGGUGUAGCGGUGAAAUGCGCAGAUAUCAGGAAGAACACCCGUGGCUAAGGCGGCUCUCUAGUACGGUACUGACGCUGAGACGCGAAAGCGUGGGGAGCAAACAGG
rnacentral:rRNA from 1 species